rnacentral:tRNA from 1 species
GCCUGGGUGGCUCAGUUGGUUGAGCGUCUGACUUCAGCUCAGGUCAUGAUCUGGCAGUUUGUGAGUUCGAGCCCCGCAUUGGGCU